UGGGAAUAUUGCAGCAUUUAUUGAUGAACUGCAGUGGGAGGAGCUUCACUGAAGGUGUGAUUGUUGUGGGAGGGGCUUCACUGAAGGUGUGAUUGUUGUGGGAGGAGCUUCACUGAUGGAGGAGCAGAUCUGCCAGUUUGAGAGCGUCAACUCAUUGUACAGUGUACCCCUCUUUGCAUGAGAGGAAGCAUUAGGAGAGAGGAGAAGAGAGACACUGAAAAGACACUCGACAGAUGUUGAAAUGCAUGUUUUUGUGCAAGGAGAAGUGGCAUGGACUAUCAGAGGAGGGUCAGAAAGCUCUGAGAUUUCAUUAUAAAGAUCUUCAUUUGUGUUCUGAAGAUGAACAAAAGACUUGCGGGUUUGGAACGACAUGAUGGUGAGUAAUUGAUGACAGA